GUACAAUUGCAAAUAGCUUUCCUGCAAACAACAUUAUAUUAAGAUACUGACAUGCCGAGGAGGAUCUGGAUCUCCUGACUUGCACAAUGGCCCAUUGGGUAGCAUUAGGGGAUAGACGGGUGGUCUUUCCCAAUGCCCGAACUAACCAAGGAACGACUCCCUCAGACAGGAGAAGACGCAGGAGUGCUCCAGCAGUAAUUCGAAAGAGGUCCUGGGGCAUCCCAGCCGAGCGUCCGGCGGUUCAUCGUGGGGUUAUAGUCGGUACUCAAAAGUUUCAGACAAAAACUAACUGGGUCCUUAGAACUAAUGGGAAUUUGAUGCAAGUCGGUUUAUUCUAGAACAGCAAGUAAUAAAAAUUGUUCUUGUACCGUGAACGACAAAGAUUAUUUGUUUGUAUUUUCGGAAGUAAGUAAAUUUUUAUUUUUUCGUUAUUUUCCUAAUAUCUGGUAAAAUUUUUGAGAUUUGCCUUGAUCGCUGUAAUAAAAAUGAAAUCCUAUAGCAGAGUGUGAGUAUUAAUAUAGCGUAAGGCAACCAGCAACCAAUAUUGACGCAUGCGCUGCCACAAAUGUACAAUUGUAUCCAAAAUUCACUGUAGUAGUAGUGACUGUUUUUUGCAAAUAUCUCGGAAAUUAAGGCUGACCGCCAGUAAUAUGUAUAAAAAGAAGUCGUUCUUAAUCAUGCCCACCAUUGCAUAUUAAAAAAUCAUCGAAAUCGAUGAGAUUUUCUUUUAUACAUUUAUCGUAACUUUUUGUAAUACAUACACUGAUUUUUCCUGCAUUAUUGUUUCAAAAUUCUACAAAAUUCAGAUUUUAAAAUAAUUAUAUUUCUCGAAGCCGUUGCGAAUGUGUAUGCAAUUUUCUAAAAGAUUAUAACAAGAAAUUCAAAACUAUGUAAUAACUUGCUUUUAUAUUUAUAUAUUGUAAAAAUAUUUAUUUUUAAACAAAUUACUACCUUUUCGAAACUUUCCUUCGAAUUUUUAUUUCUGUUAACAACUCUUUAAAUAAAUAAUAAAAUAAGUAUUUAAGUAAUAAAAAAUAAAAAUAAGUAUUUUAGAAUCUUUUGAGAUUUUUUGGAAGUCAGAAGAAUAGUAAAAAAAUUAAUUAUAGAUGACUCAGAUUGCCCAUGGAAGAUGCAAAAAAU
rnacentral:misc_RNA from 1 species